AUUGAACGCUGGCGGCAGGCCUAACACAUGCAAGUCGAGCGGAUGACGGGAGCUUGCUCCUUGAUUCAGCGGCGGACGGGUGAGUAAUGCCUAGGAAUCUGCCUGGUAGUGGGGGACAACGUUUCGAAAGGAACGCUAAUACCGCAUACGUCCUACGGGAGAAAGCAGGGGACCUUCGGGCCUUGCGCUAUCAGAUGAGCCUAGGUCUGAUUAGCUAGUUGGUGGGGUAAUGGCGCACCAAGGCGGCGAUCCGUAACUGGUCUGAGAGGAUGAUCAGUCACACUGGAACUGAGACACGGUCCAGACUCCUACGGGAGGCAGCAGUGGGGAAUAUUGGACAAUGGGCGAAAGCCUGAUCCAGCCAUGCCGCGUGUGUGAAGAAGGUCUUCGGAUUGUAAAGCACUUUAAGUUGGGAGGAAGGGCAGUAAGUUAAUACCUUGCUGUUUUGACGUUACCGACAGAAUAAGCACCGGCUAACUCUGUGCCAGCCGCCGCCGUAAAAC
rnacentral:rRNA from 1 species